rnacentral:rRNA from 1 species
AGAGUUUGAUCCUGGCUCAGAUUGAACGCUGGCGGCAUGCCUUACACAUGCAAGUCGAACGGCAGCAUGAUCUAGCUUGCUAGAUUGAUGGCGAGUGGCGAACGGGUGAGUAAUACAUCGGAACGUGCCCUGUAGUGGGGGAUAACUAGUCGAAAGAUUAGCUAAUACCGCAUACGACCUAAGGGUGAAAGUGGGGGACCGCAAGGCCUCAUGCUAUAGGAGCGGCCGAUGUCUGAUUAGCUAGUUGGUGGGGUAAAGGCCCACCAAGGCGACGAUCAGUAGCUGGUCUGAGAGGACGAUCAGCCACACUGGGACUGAGACACGGCCCAGACUCCUACGGGAGGCAGCAGUGGGGAAUUUUGGACAAUGGGCGAAAGCCUGAUCCAGCAAUGCCGCGUGUGUGAAGAAGGCCUUCGGGUUGUAAAGCACUUUUGUCCGGGAAGAAAUGGCUCUGGUUAAUACCUGGGGUCGAUGACGGUACCGGAAGAAUAAG